rnacentral:lncRNA from 1 species
GUGGCGUUGGGGGGCGGGGAUGCCCUGGCGUUUGGUUUCCGCCUGCGUCUUCGAGUGGGAAGCCGGAGCCGACUGAUUCUCUGCUCUGGCUGUGGACUUUGCAAACUUACAAACCAGAGUGGAGGUCUCACUAUGAAGCCAUGGCUAUCACAGACACUAUGAAGACCAGGCUGGCUUUGAACCCACAAAGAUACUCCAGCUUCUGCUUUAUAAGUGCUGGGAUCAAAGAUGUGCUCAAUCAUGCCUGGUGACCAGAUAUAUUUUUAAUAGAUUAUAAGCUUAACACAUGGGAUGUAUUUGAUAUUGGAUCAUGAAUAGCUGGAUCAGUUAAGAAUGCAGGAUAUUGUAGAUUAAGGUUAUUGCAAUUAUUGCAAAAUUCCGUAUUAUAUGGUCACCUCAAAUGGGAUAAAACACAAUGUUAUAAAGGACUUGUAAUGCAUGGUUAAGCUGAUAGCGAAGUAAAAGAGUAUUUUGGAGGCCAAAAAGCAA